GCUCUCCUCAUAAGGAAUUUCUGCUCCUGAAAGAUUAUCUCCCUUGUUCUUUUCUGUCUUCCUGCCUCUGGUUUUGCUUCUUCGUCAUGUUCCUGACCUUUCCUUCCCCUGCCACCUAUUCUACUUUAUUUUGUUCUCCUUUCCCUUCAUGAUUUGCACAUAUUUUUCUGUGAUUAUUUCUGUCCUGCUACCUCUCUUCCCUUUUUCGCUCAUCCUUCUUUCCUGUGUGCUUCCAUCACCAGAUUCUAAAACCUUAAUCAACUAGCUUGAGUGACUGGAAAACAAACCAAACUACUGUGGGUCGGGGCAGGUUGUUUGCCCAUGUGCUAGCAAGCUGUCCUGCCUAGCAUUGUAACUGAACACAGCAUCUGGGAUUCUUGGGUGGGUGGAAAACAAAUGUCCAUUUUAAUCUCCAUGUAUUAGAUCUCAGAUCAAGCUAUAAAUGCAGAGCAAACUGGGUCUGAGCACUGUGCUCUUCUUAUCAGCAUGUGCUCUGCAAUGCCUGGCAUUACAAGUGGGAGAACUUUUACAACUUUCUGUCCUCCUAAGUGAAGAAUUUUGCCUUAUGGCACAUUUCUAGCUAAUUGUCUCUGUAGCAGAUCAGAAGAGACCAGAAAACAUCCUGUGGCUGCGGUGAAGGGAAGUAGCUACUGUCUUAACAUUGACUUUCAAAUAACUGGCAGCAGCUGUGAUUUCUCACAGCACUUUUCAGAGGCAGCCCUACAAAGUCAGUCAUCAGGACCAGCUCUGAACUCAGCAGUUCUUCUAAGACAUGUGUCUGUUCAUCUGCCCUCCUCGUUCCCAGCGAGCACCCAAAGGACACAUUAAAUAUAACCUCAGACUCUGGUACAGAAAUACAUCACGAAACAUGACCCUCAGGUCAGUCAAAUAAGUCUCAUUGCAAUUCCCAUUGCACUGAUUCGUAUUAGAAAGUAUUUCCCUU
rnacentral:lncRNA from 1 species